rnacentral:lncRNA from 1 species
GGAUGAGUGCCUGUGGGCAUGUAUGGGCUUCCAGUUGCCUCUGCAGGACUUGGGUGGGGGAGGAGGUACAGCCCCCCGGGUGCCCCCGUCCACUCCCCUUACCGUAACACCGACCUUCACCAGCCCUCCACUUCCUGGUGAAAAGCAGACCUGUGGCCUUGGGCGUCUGCAGCAAGGCCUCAGCUUGGGUCGCUUCUCUCCUGUCAGCGUGGGCCAGCGUGGGCUGCUGUGGCCCCGGCUGCUCCAGGUUGGGGGGAUUAAUUGGCCUGUUGCUGGAGGCAGGCAGAGGCUGGACGGCGGGUAGGCAGAGCAGGCGAGGGGGACCCAAGGCCUGAGCCCCUGUGUUUGCGGGGUGAGGGCAGUGUCCCUGGAGGGAGGGGGUGCUUCUGGCCCUAGGCGAGGGUCCCUGGUGAGCGCCUCUGCAGGGACCCAUCCACAGGGCAGCCCACAUUAGCAUUCUCUGCACAAGAGUUUGCAAAGGAAUGACUCACACUCUGGCUGACUAAUUUGAAAGUAAGCUGCUUUUGCUGCAAGAAGGUUCAGUGAAUCUUAAAAACUGCGUGAUGGAGAUUUUAUUCCUUGUUCUAGACCUUUCCUUCUGCCAGGAAGGUGGCUCUGCCUCGGUUUACGCCUUUGGUUUGCUCACCUGGGGAAGUGGUUGGGGGAUUGCGGGAAAACUGAGACUCCCAGGCUUGGCUUGCUUAGUGCUCACAGGUCGCAUGCCCUCGGCAAAUGACUGAACCUCACCGGACAGCAGGGCGCACCCACGGCACAACACACACAUUUGGCGGAAUGGGGACCCAAGCCCUGCUGAACCAGGAUGAGGACCUCCUCCCACACGGGGUGGUGGGCUUCACAGAGAGGAGGCGAGUUGCUCUGGAAGAGUCUCAAGCUGGGAAGUGGGAAAUCGCGUCUGAGCAUCCGUCACGAAGGGAGGGAGCCC